rnacentral:lncRNA from 1 species
AAGUGUAGGAACUAGAUGCUAAUUGGAAAUGCAUGGAAAAAUAUCUAGUUGCCUAGUUACCUUUGGAGGAUUUGGGUAUUGGAUUCAUCAAUGAUUGGCAACAUGCUUCAAAUCUUGAUUAAUUUGGCUCUUGCAUGAAAUGCUCAUCUCUUGUGGUCAAGUCUUCAAAUCCUCCCGAGUCUCAUGCAUUCCAAGUCGCCUUUGGAACCUAAACCUUCUUGGAGCCCUUCAUAGUAGUGAUGAUUUUCUUGGGCACCCAAAUAGGUUGGUUCCACCCCUUGCCUUGUUUGUUGAUCAAGUGAGCCACCACCUUGUUAUCUUUCUUCUUAAGGAGGUAGAGUGUGCUCUUUAUCUUGUCAACCUUCAAGAAGGUUUGGUGUUGGAGUUAACUUUCUUCUUAUUUUCUUCCCCCUUCAUCUUGUUCUUGCACUCUUAGGACUUGUGGCCUUCUUUAUGGCAUGAGUAGCAAGUCAC